rnacentral:rRNA from 1 species
AGGACGAACGCUGGCGGCGUGCUUAACACAUGCAAGUCGAGCGAGACUUCGGUCUAGCGGCGAACGGGUGAGUAACACGUGGGCAACCUGCCCCGAGCUCUGGGAUAACCCCGGGAAACCGGGGCUAAUACCGGAUAUGACCCGAGAAGACAUCUUCUCGGGUGGAAAGUUUUUCGGCUCGGGAUGGGCCCGCGGCCUAUCAGCUUGUUGGUGGGGUAACGGCCUACCAAGGCGACGACGGGUAGCC